rnacentral:ncRNA from 2 species
UUCUUAUCAAGAGAGGUCGAGGGUAUGGCCCGAUGACGCCUCAGCAACCAUCAAUGUCCGCAUUGAAAAGGUGCUAAGUCCAGCAAGUUGUCCAACUUGGCAGAUAAGAA